rnacentral:tRNA from 1 species
GGGCCUGUAGCUCAGUUGGUUAGAGCGCACCCCUGAUAAGGGUGAGGCCGGACGUUCAAAUCGUCCCAGGCCCA